UACGAAGGGGGCUAGCGUUGUUCGGAAUUACUGGGCGUAAAGCGCAUGUAGGCGGCAGCGCAAGUCGGGCGUGAAAUCCCACGGCUCAACCGUGGAAGUGCACUCGAAACUGCGCAGCUAGAGUCCUGGAGAGGAAGGUGGAAUGCUUGGUGUAGAGGUGAAAUUCGUAGAUAUCAAGCGGAACACCGGUGGCGAAGGCGGCCUUCUGGACAGUGACUGACGCUGAGAUGCGAAAGCGUGGGGAGCAAACAGG
rnacentral:rRNA from 1 species